rnacentral:rRNA from 1 species
GACGAACGCUGGCGGCGUGCUUAACACAUGCAAGUCGAGCGAUGAAAUUUCUUCGGAAAUGGAUUAGCGGCGAACGGGUGAGGAACACGUGAAGAAUCUGCCCUCCACUUUGGGAUAACACCGGGAAACCGGUGCUAAUACCGAAUAUUGAAACAUAAGUGGCAUCACUGAGUUUUGAAAGAAUUUCGGUCAAGGAUGAGCUCGCGGCCUAUCAGCUAGUUGGUGAGGUAAAGGCUCACCAAGGCGACGACGGGUAGCCGGCCUGAGAGGGUGACCGGCCACACUGGAACUGAGAUACGGUCCAGACUCCUACGGGAGGCAGCAGUGGGGAAUAUUGCACAAUGGGCGCAAGCCUGAUGCAGCAACGCCGCGUGAGGGAUGAAGGCCUCGGUUGGUAACCUACUUUAGUCAGGGAAGAAGCGAAGUGACGGUACCUGCAGAAAAGACACCGGCUAACUACGUG